UACGGAGGAUCCAAGCGUUAUCCGGAUUUAUUGGGUUUAAAGGGUGCGUAGGCGGCCUGUUAAGUCAGGGGUGAAAGACGGUAGCUCAACUAUCGCAGUGCCCUUGAUGCUGAUGGGCUUGAAUUGACUAGAGGUAGGCGGAAUGUGACAAGUAGCGGUGAAAUGCAUAGAUAUGUCACAGAACACCGAUUGCGAAGGCAGCUUACUAUGGUCUUAUUGACGCUGAGGCACGAAAGCGUGGGGAUCAAACAGG
rnacentral:rRNA from 1 species